rnacentral:misc_RNA from 1 species
UUUCCGUAGGUGAACCUGCGGAAGGAUCAUUACUGAGUGAGGGCCCCUCGGGGUCCAACCUCCCACCCGUGUUUAACGAACCUUGUUGCUUCGGCGGGCCCGCCUCACGGCCGCCGGGGGGCAUCUGCCCCCGGGCCCGCGCCCGCCGAAGCCACCUGUGAACGCUGUCUGAAGUAUGCAGUCUGAGACAAUUAUUAAAUUAAUUAAAACUUUCAACAACGGAUCUCUUGGUUCCGGCACCGAUGAAGAACGCAGC